rnacentral:rRNA from 1 species
CAGCAGGCGCGAAAACUUUACAAUGCUGGCAACAGCGAUAAGGGGACCUUGAGUGCCAGGAUACAAUCCUGGCUGUCGUGAUGCCUAAAAAGCAUUAUAUAGCAAGGGCCGGGCAAGACCGGUGCCAGCCGCCGCGGUAACACCGGCGGCUCGAGUGGUAACCGCUAUUAUUGGGUCUAAAGGGUCUGUAGCCGGCUUGGUUAGUCUCUUGGGAAAUCCGGCAGCUUAACUGUCGGGCUUUCAGGAGAUACUGCCAGGCUCGAGACCGGGAGAGGUGAGAGGUACUUCAUGGGUAGGGGUGAAAUCUUGUAAUCCUUGAAGGACCACCAGUGGCGAAGGCGUCUCACCAGAACGGAUCUGACGGCAAGGGACGAAAGCUAGGGGCACGAACCGGAUUAGAUACCCGGGUAGUCCUAGCCGUAAACGAUACUCGCUAGGUGUCGGCCACGGUGCGACCGUGGUCGGUGCCGUAGGGAAGCCGUGAAGCGAGCCACCUGGGAAGUACGGCCGCAAGGCUGAAACUUAAAGGAAUUGGCGGGGGAGCACAAGGGCGAAUCGCGG